GACGAACGCUGGCGGCGUGCCUAAUACAUGCAAGUCGAACGAGAGCGACCGGUGCUUGCACUGGUCAAUCUAGUGGCGAACGGGUGAGUAACACGUGGGUAACCUGCCUAUCAGAGGGGGAUAACAUCCGGAAACGGAUGCUAAAACCGCAUAGGUCUUCGAACCGCAUGGUUUGAAGAGGAAAAGAGGCGCAAGCUUCUGCUGAUGGAUGGACCCGCUGUGCAUUAGCUAGUUGGUGAGGUAACGGCUCACCAAGGCCGUGAUGCGUAGCCGCCCUGAGAGGGGGAUCGGCCACACUGGAACGGAGACACGGGCCAGACGACUAAGGGAGGCAGCAGUAGGGAAUCUGCCGCAAUGGGCGAAAGACUGACGGAGCAACGCCGGGUGAGUGAAGAAGGUCUUCGGAUCGUAAAACUCUGGUAGUAGGGAAGAACAAAUGUGUAAGUAACUAUGCACGUCUUGACGGUACCUAAUCAGAAAGCCACGGCUAACUACGUG
rnacentral:rRNA from 1 species